rnacentral:lncRNA from 1 species
GAGCGACCUCAUGUCACUCAAACCAGCUGUAUUAAGGAAGGUGCAAGCUUUUGGGAUUUCUGUUUGGAUUUAGUUUAGGUUCAAAAGAGCACGCACAGAUCCUGAGUGUUGUCAAGCACCCGUGACUGGGAAACGGAGGCGUCCGAUCCGUAUUGGAGUCAAUUCGCCACUUAAUUGUUUCAGGGGUUACUCCAUCAUUAUCAUGGCAGGGAACAUGGCAGGAUGCAGGCAGAUGGUAGCUGAGAGUUCUACAUCUGGAUCCACAAAAAACCCUUUGAAAAGAUUCAGCACGUUGCCAUGGAGAACAUCCCACUGAAGGAAUGUAUAGAAGUAGCAGGGUUAACUGAGUGCCUUCCAUCUUCCCUCCAAGGGAUCUGCAAUGAGAUGGGAGAAGGCAACAGGCUGUGUGGGAACCACUGAAGCUGGGAUGGCAGGGAAAGAACAUCUUAGGCUAACUCUUCAAGCCUUGCUGUCACAUUUGCUUUUGAGUCUAUGGUUCCUUAUUAUUUUGGAAGGGUCUGAGAACCCACAGGGCACCCUGGGUCAUGACUCAUGUGACUGAGGAAGCACACAGAUCUGUGGAUCUCCAAGUCUAGAUGACAGCAAGCUAACAGGACACUGUUUAUGACAUAUAUAGCCCCCCCCCAACCCCUGCAGAUUUCAAAUAGGUUCUGACAAAGCUUUGUGGUAUCUGAAGGGUAGAUAGAGAAAAUAAGUGUAUCAUUUUGGUUUCUGUUUCUGCAUUACAGGUGUCAGCUGCCUACCAGUUGCUUUCAUCUCUAGAAAUCUGUGACUUGCAGUAUGACAAGAACAAAAGGUGACAAUACAAAGGACAAAGGGCAAGGAAUACAGACGGAGAAGCCGCUUAGAGUCUAGGAUGGCAGAGGUUCUCUUGAUCAUUUCAUUUUUGAGCGCUUGUAGAGCUUUGGUGUACCAGAGGUGCUUGAACAGCUUACCACACCACAGAUGAAUGGCCUUUGGAUUUCUCCUAAGAAAAUGUGGCUACCUGAAAUUCAACUCCAUUUUCUGGUCUUCAAUAUUUCUUUUGUGUUCAGUUUGCCAGCUGAGGAGAAGUGGCUAAGCAUAGCCUGUUACUGAUGCUAAAGCCCAAGUUCUGAACCUAACAACUCCAGCAACAUGAUCCUGUUUCAAGAGACAAAAAA